UGGAGAGGUAUAUGGAGUUAAGCCUGUUCACCGCCUGCCGAUUGAUCACUUGUGUGAAUAAGAGAGAGAGAGAGAGAGAGAGAGAGAGAGAGAGAGAGAGAGAGAUUUAAUAUGACUGUGAGGAAUACUGCGCUCACUACAGAUCAUGCCAGUAAAGGACGACAACUGAGAAACAACACAUGAAGAACAGAUGCCGGUGAAAGAAAGAAGAAUAAUGUGGAAAGAUAAAUGGGAUGAUAGGUAAGACACUUUAUCACUGUGUGUGUGUGUGUGUGUGUGUAAGAGAAAGAGUGUGAUAUCCGAGUCUUGACACCGAUUGCUUCACUCAACUGAGAGUUUCUAAAGUGUGUGUUUCCAGAACAGAGAUGAUGUGAUUGAGAUGUGUGACCGACACGGAUGAUGAAUCUACCCUGAGCUCUCAGAGAGUGUGUGUGUGUGUGUGUGUGUGUGUGAUCAGACUCAGUUUAAACUACUAGUUUACUAUCUAUUCUAGUCGACCUAUCCACACAGUUAUUCUCUAAGGAAGCGUUUAUUAAAUCAGCCACAGUUACAGGCUGUCCUCAUCCUGAACAAACUUCAUCUAGUGUGUUUUAUAUUGUUCCAGGAUUUUAAGUAAUUGCGUUUAUAUUUCCUAAAUCAAAAUCAAUAACUUAAUCGGGUUGCUUUGAAAUUUUUUUUGAUGCUUUGAAUGCUUUUAACAUUUGCAUUUCGUAGGCAGAGAUGUUUUCUUACGGUUACACUUUUAAAGCUGUGAAUCAGUUUAGGAGAUUCAUCCAGAACCCGAUCGAUGAAGAUCAGCCUGAAAACACCAGACACGAGUAUCGGCUCACACCGGAGAAUCAGGACACACACUUCAUAAAAAACUGCUGCACUUUAGAUAGAUUGACUCUGAAUCCAAACAUCAUCAUCAUCAUCAUCAUCAUCAUCAUCAUCCAGAUAGAACAAGCAAGUCAAAUGAUUGGAUUUACCACUAAUCUGGUGUAACAAUAAAAGCUUUUGAUUCCCACCAUCUGAAAUAAUCAUACUAGACAUUCAUCAGACACACAAUGCAUUUCAGUGCAUCUGUGAAAAUACAUUUAGCAGAAGCACACACAGACGCUGUCGCCCACACACACACACACACACACACACACACACACACACUCAUGGUGUACCAGAGCCAAGCAGGAGUCGGCGAAAACCAUUUACUGAAGCCUCCAUUAGUGUAAACUCACAGGAGACACUUCGCAGACGUUACAGCACAAUCAUUGAGGAAAACCACCAUUAACAUAUAAACUAAUUUAACUAGAAGAAGCCAAUCUGAAUCUGACUGGAGGUGUUUAAGCAUUAAAGCGCUCGUGUCAGUCAGAAUAUCAUGGCUUUUGCACGUUUGCAUGGCUGUUAUAACACACUCAGGGCACGAAUGAGCUGAACCCCUCAUUUAGUCACUCUAAAGUGUGAGAGAUAGGCUUGUGUUAUUGGGAUGGUGUUGGAAGGUUUGGUUGUUCUAGAACUCAAUGUCUCAUUCUAAUGUUAUGUACUGCAAAUAUUAGUAAUCUACCUCCUUUAUUUGAACACUAUAAUAAUUCACGUCUCAUUUAUAGCGAGUAGUUUCUCCAGCACAGCGAAUGACAUUCCUUUGUGUCUCCGUGAAUGGCGUCACUGACCUUCCCACUGAGAAACCCAUUGAGAAACUGUAAGCUCCGCCCCCUGACACGAUAGGUCAGAACCCGUAGGCCCCGCCCCCUGGCACGAUAGGUCUGAACCCGUAGGCCCGCCCACUGGAGCACCCGCCUCUCUUUAAAGGGCCAGACCGGCAACAUGUGACUGGAUUUCAGCGUGGGAGUAAAAGGGGAGAGAAGAACAGAUCAGGAAUGAAGGGAAACUGAAGGAGAGGAACGGAGGAAAGGUGGAGGUGUACAGAGGGUUUCCGCUCCACUGGGACGGUCGGAGAGAGAAACUCUCGAUGGGAACGAAGAGAAAACAGUGGAAGAGCAGGAGAGCAGGAGUGUGUAGACAGGUAACGUCUCAGUCUCUCAGGUCAUAGUGCAACUACCUGAAGAUAGAGAGAGAGAAGGACAGAAGAGUGUGUGUUUAAUACACGGACCACAGAAACACACACACACACACACACACACUCUCACCUUCACCUGAGGAACUGAAGCAUCUCGCAGAUCGACAGCGUUCGCCAUUCACACCUGAAACAUCAAGAACUCAUUCAGCAAUCCCAUAAUGCUCUCUGAUCAAGAACCGACACGUCCUGGGAACUCGACAUCUUGUAUAAUUGUAAAAUUAUUUAAUUAUUUCAUUAGUUUGAGGAACAUCGAAUAUUUUGACUCUUUUCUGGCAAAAGUUGUGAAAGCUGCAAAGAAACGGCAACAGAAACACCAGCUGCAGCUUUACCACUGUGCCUCACCCUCGUUCUCUCUCUCUCUGUGUGUGUGUGUGUGUGUGUGUGUGUGUGUGUGAGUGAGAGUGUGUGAGAGAGAGAGAGAGAAUGUGGGUGAAGGGUGACUUUUGCUUUUAUGAAUGGGCUGCUGGGACGAGUGCUCUGAUUGGUCAGUCCCUCUAAAGUGAAAUAUGACACCACUGCUCAACAUGUGACACAGCCGUUUCCAACGCAGCCUUCAUCUAACCCAGACUGAAGACGAGAGAGAAGUGUCGCUCACUGACAUCACUCUUCCUGACACAUCAUGGAAAAUCAUGUCAUGUGACCUGGAAAACUGGAGUCAAUCUGCGGACUUUCUCUCAGAGUUGGUCCUGGCUGCAGAUAAAGUACUAAUAGUUGGUGACUUUAAUAUACAUGUAGAUAAUGAAAAAGAUGCACUGGGAUUGGCAUUUAAAGACAUUAUAAACUCUACUGGAGUCUGGACACACUCGCUGUCUUAGAUCUAAUAUUAAUAGAUGUUGAUGCUGUUGAAAUUCUGCAGCAGAGCGAUGACAUCUCAGAUCAGACAUCUAGCCAAAGCAGCAAAGCCGACUCCGUGUUAUAAAUAUGUCAGACCUGUAACCUCUGCCACUAAAGACUGCUUUA